rnacentral:tRNA from 1 species
GCCUCUGUGGCUUAGUUCGGUAUAGCAGUGGUUUUGUAAACCACAGAUCGAGGGUUCAAAUCCCUCCAGAGGCU